AGCACUGAGAAAAAUGGGGAAUAACUAACUAUUUAAUUUUAAAACUUACAAGCUACCGCUUACUCAUAAAUGUAUUUCACCUAUCGAUAAAAAUGUACUAAACUAAGAAGUGCCCCACUUGAUGGAGGGCAAACCCAGGCAGACAUUCAGUCAGCCUGCCGGCAGGACAUCGUUUAAUUGCGAACAAGUUUUUUAACACGAUGUCGGACAACCUCCGCGCCUUGUUUGCAGAAGAAUCAAGUGGAGUGCAACAUGUUCGUUGCCAGCUGAACUCGUUUCGAAUCGCACGAUUAUCCUUAUCCCCUUUUGGGAUCCGUACAGUCCUCCAUGGACUGAUAAUGAGUCCUAACCACUUGCCAUAUUGAUCGCAGCUGCCCUCGAGCGGCGGCACACAAUUCGCUUCGAGUGGCGAUCUUGGAGCGGUGAUAACGCGCUGAAAGCCACACCAAAAAUUAAUUAAUUUAUGAGUCCGUCAUCCGACGGCACACACUGAAUGCUGAGAAAUGCCGCGCUGAUGAGCAUAAAAUUGCCACGCCAGAGUGCCACAAUGCCAGAAUGCCAGAAUACUGCACAUUGCUAACCCACAUUUCGCAUGUGGCAUGGACACCAUAAAUUCCCCUGCAAAUGUUGAUGCUAAUGAGCGACACGCUAACUGGGCCAGCUCAACAAUUGCCGUGGAGCCGAGCCACGUCGAGCCGAGCUGGCCCAGAGUACUGCCGACCAGGCCAGGAUAUGCAUAGUCGAGUGCUCUAUCCACAUAUGCACAGUGGAUAAUAUCGGAGUAAAUCUAGGAAAUGUGCUUAUCGUAGCACUCUUUUAGGAGCCGUUUAAAAGUCCUUGCACAUCAAAUGAGUUUUACAAGAAUAAGAUAUGGAAAUACCUACCAAUUUA